rnacentral:rRNA from 1 species
UACGUAGGGUGCAAGCGUUGUCCGGAAUUAUUGGGCGUAAAGAGCUCGUAGGCGGUUCGUCGCGUCGGCUGUGAAAACCCGAGGCUCAACCUCGGGCCUGCAGUCGAUACGGGCAGACUAGAGUGCUGUAGGGGAGACUGGAAUUCCUGGUGUAGCGGUGAAAUGCGCAGAUAUCAGGAGGAACACCGGUGGCGAAGGCGGGUCUCUGGGCAGUAACUGACGCUGAGGAGCGAAAGCGUGGGGAGCAAACAGG